CGUACAGAGGUGCUUAGCCGAGCUGAGAAACGAAUUUGGUCAGGAGUAUGGGUGCAGAGUCGAGACUCCAGAUUGGGUAGGAGCGGACCUGGGGGCGGGGACACAGCUGCAAAGAAGGGGCAUGGGCAGAAUUGACAGAAAGACCCUGAAGAAGAGCGGGUAAUGAGCGGGCAAAGGCUCUUUCUGACCUCAAAGGCAAGGAUGAAAACUGCGGGAAUACGCGCAGGCUAACCUCCCACCUCCCUUUUCAGAUGAUCUUCCAUGAAAACCUCUAUUCUGCGAUUUAUGUCUUCCUCAUAGUCCGAUUGGCUCAUUCCCAGUAGUUCAACUCCCUUCCAUUGGUCUAGAGAGGACACUACAACCCGCAACCGGGAUGUUCAGGAAGAAAAUGAACCUUAGAGUGGGGACAUCAACGACACAAGGGAGCAGCUAAGGAGUCCACCAGGCAGACGACAGAAACCAGGACCCGCUGAUCACAGAAUCCGUGGUCACCAGUGUGGUGGGCGAGGUGUUUGCAUUUGUCUACAAUAUUUGCCUCUUAGUGAAGACAAUCCCCUUCCCCUUUCAGAUCCUACGAGCACAAAGACUGUAUUUGGUGCUGUGAAGUCUUCACUGCAAAUGCUGAUGUUCCUCUUUAAUAGAAAGAGCAGAGAGGUACCUGGGGGAAGCUCAGUCGGUUGAGCAUCUGACUCUUGAGUUUGGCUCAGGUCAUGAUCUCAUGGUUUGUGAGCUCAAAGACUGUAUUGGGCCUCUGUGCUGACAGCACAGAGCCUGCUUGGGAUGCUCUCCCUCUCUCUCUCAAGAUAAAUAAACAGAUAAAUAAGUGAAAAUUUAAAAAGAGCAGAGCAGAAGCAGGCUUGGGCUUAGAGCCUUUGCAGAAGAUAUCCAAACAGAA